rnacentral:rRNA from 1 species
AUAUCAAAAAAGCGGAGGAAAAGAAACUAACAAGGAUUCCCCUAGUAACUGCGAGUGAAGCGGGAAAAGCUCAAAUUUAAAAUCUGGUGGUCUUUGGCCAUCCGAGUUGUAAUCUAGAGAAGUGUUAUCCGCGCUGGACCGUGUACAAGUCCCCUGGAAUGGGGCGUCAUAGAGGGUGAGAAUCCCGUCUUUGACACGGACUACCAGGGCUUUGUGAUGCACUCUCAAAGAGUCGAGUUGUUUGGGAAUGCAGCUCAAAAUGGGUGGUAAAUUCCAUCUAAAGCUAAAUAUUGGCGAGAGACCGAUAGCGAACAAGUACCGUGAGGGAAAGAUGAAAAGAACUUUGGAAAGAGAGUUAAACAGUACGUGAAAUUGUUGAAAGGGAAACGCUUGAAGUCAGUCGCGUCUGCCAGGGAUCAACCUUACUUUUGUGAGGCGUACUUCCUGGUUGAUGGGUCAGCAUCAGUUUUGGUCGCUGGAUAAAGGUCAGAGAAAUGUGGCACCUUCGGGUGUGUUAUAGUCUUUGAUCAGAUACAGUGGCUGGGACUGAGGAACUCAGCGCCGCAAGGCUGUCUUAGGAUGCUGCAAAAUGCUAUACCUGAU